rnacentral:rRNA from 1 species
UACGUAGGCGGAAAAUUAAGUCAGUAGUGAAAUCCUGCAGCUUAACUGUAGAACUGUUAUUGAUACUGGUUUUCUUGAAUAUAGUUGAAGUAGGCGGAAUGUGUAAUGUAGCGGUGAAAUGCUUAGAUAUUACACAGAACACCGAUUGCGAAGGCAGCUUACUAAGCUAUGAUUGACGCUGAGGUACGAAAGCGUGGGGAGCGAACAGGAUUAGAUACCCUGGUAGUC